GAUAUUAACCUGUGAAGAUUGCUGUAUCCUUUAUCACUGAAGGGACAAAUUGGGAGAUUCUUAGGCUUGUGGUUCCUGUUUUGCAGUUCUCCUGUGGUGAUGGCAGAAGGUAUCAAUGGAACUUCAUCAAUGCCCAGCCUUUGUUCCGCACACAGGAACUGCAACAGUUAGGGUGCUGGAGUUUGGACAUCCUGGUUUGCUAAAUCCUAAUCCGGUUGUUAAAGAUGAAACUGGUCUUCUUAUUGAAGAAUAUCUUUCUCCCUCCAAAUUGCGAGCCCUGACUGCAACCGAGGACUUGCAACAGGUGAAGGUUCUGGAGAUGUGCGUAGACACACAGGAUAACAGUCUGG